GGCAUUCACCAGGGGGGUCCCGGCAAGGGGCUGAGAUACUGCUGGACGAUAUGGCCUAGGCCUUUUCGUGGCGCAGUGACCCGUUGAACCUGAUCCAGUUCAUACUGGCGUAGGGACGGUGCAAGCGCUCGAAG
rnacentral:ncRNA from 2 species